GACGAACGCUGGCGGCGUGCCUAACACAUGCAAGUGGAGCGACGAACCGGGGCUUGCCCCGGGGCAGAGCCGCGAACGGGUGAGUAACACGUGGGUUACCUGCCCCGAUGACUGGGACAACCCGUCGAAAGACGGGCUAAUACCGGAUGUGCCCCUUGGGGGAAAGGAAGCUUCGGCCUCCGCAUCGGGAUGGGCCCGCGGCGCAUUAGCUUGUUGGUGGGGUAAUGGCUUACCAAGGCGACGAUGCGUAGCUGGUCUGAGAGGACGAUCAGCCACACUGGGACUGAGACACGGCCCAGACUCCUACGGGAGGCAGCAGUGGGGAAUCUUGCACAAUGCGCGAAAGCGUGAUGCAGCAACGCCGCGUGCGGGAAGAAGGCCUUAGGGUUGUAAACCGCUUUCAGUUGGGACGAAGCUUCAGUCGUUAAUAGCGGUUUGGAGUGACGGUACCUUCAGAAGAAGCGCCGGCUAACUACGUGCCAGCAGCCGCGGUAAUACGUAGGGCGCGAGCGUUGUCCGGAAUCAUUGGGCGUAAAGCGCGUGUAGGCGGCUGAGUAAGUCUGCUGUGAAAGUCUAGGGCUCAACCCUGGAAUGUCGGCGGAUACUGCUCAGCUGGAGUACGGGAGGGGCGAGUGGAAUUCCUGGUGUAGCGGUGGAAUGCGCAGAUAUCAGGAGGACACCUAUGGCGAAGGCAGCUCGCUGGAACGUUACUGACGCU
rnacentral:rRNA from 1 species